CCUACGGGAGGCAGCAGUGGGGAAUAUUGCACAAUGGGGGAAACCCUGAUGCAGCGACGCCGCGUGAGUGAAGAAGUAUUUCGGUACGUAAAGCUCUAUCAGCAGGGAAGAAAAACCGGCCGUAGGGCCGCCAGACGGUACCGGACGAAGAAGCCCCGGCGAACUACGUGCCAGCAGCCGCGGUAAUACGUAGGGGGCAAGCGUUAUCCGGAUGUACUGGGUGGAAAGGGAGCGUAGACGGCAGCGCAAGUCUGGAGGGAAAUGCCGGGGCCCAACCCCGGAACUGCUUUGGAAACUGUGCAGCUGGAGUGCAGGAGAGGUAAGCGGAAUUCCUCGUGUAGCGGUGCAAUGCGUAGAUAUUAGGCGGCACACCAGUGGCGCAGGCGGCUUACUGGACUGUAACUGACGUUGAGGCUCGAAAGCGUGGGGAGCAAACAGGAUUAGAUACCCCAGUAGUC
rnacentral:rRNA from 1 species